AGCCCCUCGCCGGCUUGCUGUAGAGGCAGGCGCCGGGUGUGUCGCGGCAGUGCAGCGGCCGCGAAGGGGUGUUUUGCUGUAUGUCAUAUUCCUCGUUUCGCCAGAGCGGGGGUCCCGAGCUUCGGGCGCGGGACGCGGGGGUGCUCCGAGGCUGCGAGUGGAGGCGUGACGUGACGUCCCUGGCAAGAGGCGCGCGGAGUCAGGCCUUACUUAGAACGUGUUCCCGCCGCACAGCUACCAGCGGGCGCGACCGCUACCCACGCAUGGUGCGGUCGAGUAAACGGCACCGCCUGGCGAGCGAGAGACGCAAAGGGACAUAGCCCCCUAGGAGCUGAGCUCUUCGGGGGUAAAGCGUUCUCACGUUGAUGAGACCAGGAGGCGGCGCACGCCUGGCUCCGCGGCCCAGGGGUUGCAGGUGCCCCAGGGUUCGCGGGGCGCAGACGCCGCAGAGGGCGACGCCCUGCCCGGGUCCCGCGCGGACCCGGGGGACGCAGGGUCUGACACGGAGUGCGGAGGGGCCCCAGACACGCAGUCCAUGUCCCUUGAAACCAGAGGCACGCGCGGCCACGCGCUAGGCCUUUCCCUUAAGCCUGUGACCAAGAUCUCCGGGACUCCCAGCGUUGGGACGGGCGCGCUGGCCCACGCCCAAGCGGGAGGAUCGCUUGCGCCCAGGAGAUUGAGACCAGCCUGAGCACCAAAGCGAGACCUCGUCUCUACAAAAAAUAAGACUCAAGAAGACACCCAGGGUGAAUCGCCCGUCUGCAGCCAGCCUCCCGAGCACCGUGGCCGCGUCUGACAACUGACCUCAGAAAGGACCACAGCCCGGCGGCAGGCAUGAUGGUGGGAAAGCUAGUUAGGACAGAAUACACAAAAGAAUUUCUCAAAAAACAGUAAACGAACAGCAACCCGAUAGAAAAACGAGGAAAGAAUAUGAAUAAGCAGCUCCAGAAGAGGAAAUUCAGGUGGCCGGUAAACACAUGAAAAAGAUGCUCAUCUUCACUGGUCACCAGGAAAAUGUGUGAGUGUAGCCCUUGACACCAAUCAGAGUAAGUCUGGGGACACCAGGGAGUGGGGAUUUGGCACCAGUCGUGCAGCUGAAGGUCGGAAUACUCCAGUGUGGGAUCCGCCUUCCAGUACCUGCCGGAGAAACUGCACAUGUCCGCAGGGAGAUGGAAAGACCUUGUUUCCUUCGGGGAUUUGUACUUCUCUGGAAGAAGAGCCGAACGGCUUCAGUGGAGCCUGUUGUCUGUUGUGAAGUGUAGCAGUUUAAGUGAGUGCACCACAUCUGCACAAUUGAUAGUACAUGCUAUGUAAUACCAUUUUUCAUUUAUUUUUUUAGACAGAAUUCUGUUCUUGUUGCCCAGGCCGGAGUGCAGUGGCACGGUCUCAGCUCACGGCAGCCUCCAUCUCCUGGGUUCAAGCGAUUCUCCUGCCUCAGCCUCCCGAGUAGCUGGGAUUACAGGUGCCCGCCACCACACCCAGCUAAUUUUUGUAUUUUUCGUAGAGACGGGGUUGCACCAUCUCGGCCAGGCUGAUCUGGAACUCCUGACCUCAGGUGAUCUGCCCGCCUUGGCUUCCCAAAGUGCUAGGAUUACAGGCGUGAGCCAACGUGCCUAGCCAAUUUUUGUUAAGUUUAAAAACACAUGAUCAAUGACCUAUCUUGUUUUCAAAUGCUUUCGUUUGUAGUAAAAAAUACCUAAACAUACUUGAGAAUUACAUUGAGGCCGUGUGCGGUGGCUCACACCUGUAAUCCCAACUUUGGGAGGCCAAUGGGGUGGAUCACUUGAGGUCAGGAGUUCAAGACCAGCCUGGCCAAAAUACUGAAACCUGUCUCUACAAAAAUACAAAAAAUUAGCCAGGCAUGGUGGCGCAUGCCUGUAAUCCCAGCUACUGGGGAGGCUGAGGCAGGAGAAUUGCUAGAACCCCGGAGACGGAGGUUGCAGUGAGCUGAGAUCACACCAUUGCACUCCAGCCUGGGUAACAGAGCGAGACUCUGUCUCAAAAAAAAAAAAAAAAAGAAAGAAAGAAAAAAGAAUUAUAUUCAAGAGGACAGACAGAAGAGAAAGGGUGAAGUACAACUUUGACUAUAUCUAUAACAUUCAUUUCCACUGGGCACAGUGGGUCAUGCCUGUAAUCCCAGCACUUUGGGAGGCUGAGGCAGGAGGAUCACUUAAGCCCAGGAGUUCAAAAAACAAACAAAAAAACAUUAGCCAGGUGUGGUGGUGCACACCUGUAGUCCCGGCUACUCAAGAGACUGAGGUGGGAGGAGCUCUUAAGACCCAGAGGUUUUUCUGGAUUCCACAUAUAAAUGAGACCAUGAAGUCUUCUUUCUCUGACUGGCUUAUUUCACUUAGCAUAAUGCUGGAGUCCAGUAAUUUGAAGCUGUAGUGAGCUGUGAUUGUGCCUGUGAAUAGCCCUGCACUCCAGCCUGGGCAACGGGGCAAAACUCCCUCUCUAAAGUAAGAAAACGUUUAAAAACUUAGCAUAGGCCGGGUGCGGUGGCUCACGCCUGUAAUCCCAGCACUUUGGGAGGCCAAGGUGGGUGGAUCACGAGGUCAGGAGAUCAAGACCAGCCUGGCCAAUAUGGUGAAACCCCAUCUCUACUAAAACUACAAAAAUUAGCUGGGUGCAGCUGGGCGCUGUGGCUCACACCUGUAAUCCUAGCACUUUGGGAGGCCGAGGCGGGUGGAUCAUGAGGUCAGGAGAUCAAGACCAUCCUGGCUAACACAGCGAAACCCUGUCUCUACUAAAAAUAGAAAAAAUUAGCCAGGUGUGGUGGUGGGUGCCUGUAGUCCCAGCUACUUGGGAGGCUGAGGCAGGAGAAUCACUUGAACCUGGAAGGCAGAGGUUGCAGUGAGCCAAGGUGGCGCUACUGCACUCCAGCCUGGGCAACAGAGCAAGACUCUGUCUCAAAAAAAAACUUAGUAUAAUGUCCUCCAGGUUCAUCCACGUUGUCACAAAUGGCAGUUUCGCUCGUUUCCCGGGCUGGAAUGCAAUGGUGUGAUCCCGGCUCACCGAAACCUCCGCCUCCUGGGUUCAAGAGAUUCUCCUGUCUCAGCCUCCCGAGUAGCUGGGAUUACAGGCACCUGCUACCACGCCCAGCU
rnacentral:lncRNA from 10 species